AGGGCACUACCAGGAGUGGAUCCUGCGGCUCAAUUUGACUCAACACGGGAAAGCUCACCUGGUCCGGACACUGGAAGGAUUGACAGAUUAAGAGCUCUUUCUUGAUUCAGUGGGUGGUGGUGCAUGGCCGUUCUUAGUUGGUGGAGCGAUUUGUCUGGUUAAUUCCGAUAACGAACGAGACUCUAGCCUACUAAAUAGGUGUUCCGAUCCCAUCAGUCGGACGCUCUUCUUAGAGGGACAAGCGGCGUUUAGCCGCACGAGACAGAGCAAUAACAGGUCUGUGAUGCCCUUAGAUGUCCGGGGCCGCACGCGCGCUACACUGAAGGAACCAGCGUGUGUCCCUGUCCGGCAGGACUGGGUAAUCCGUUGAACCUCCUUCGUGAUAGGGAUAGGGGCUUGUAAUUGUUCCCCUUGAACGAGGAAUUCCCAGUAAGCGUGAAUCAUCAGUUCACGUAGAUUACGUCCCUGGCCUUUUUACACACCACCCGUCGCUACUACAGAUUGGGUAAUUAGUAAGGA
rnacentral:rRNA from 1 species